GUACUCGCUUCGACAUCACAUAUACUAAAAUUGGAAGGACACAGAGAUUAGCAUGGCCCCUGUGCAAGGAUGAUAUGCAAAUUCAUGAAGCGCUUCAUAUUUUU
ensembl:snRNA U6 U6 spliceosomal RNA